CGCAGGCGGUCCUUUAAGUCUGAUGUGAAAGCCCACGGCUCAACCGUGGAGGGUCAUUGGAAACUGGGGGACUUGAGUGCAGAAGAGGAAAGCGGAAUUCCACGUGUAGCGGUGAAAUGCGUAGAGAUGUGGAGGAACACCAGUGGCGAAGGCGGCUUUCUGGUCUGUAACUGACGCUGAGGCGCGAAAGCGUGGGGAGCAAACAGGAUUAGAUACCCUGGUAGUCCACGCCGUAAACGAUGAGUGCUAAGUGUUAGAGGGUUUCCGCCCUUUAGUGCUGCAGCUAACGCAUUAAGCACUCCGCCUGGGGAGUACGGCCGCAAGGCUG
rnacentral:rRNA from 1 species